rnacentral:rRNA from 1 species
GAUGAACGCUGGCGGCGUGCCUAAUACAUGCAAGUCGAGCGAACGGACGAGAAGCUUGCUUCUCUGAUGUUAGCGGCGGACGGGUGAGUAACACGUGGAUAACCUACCUAUAAGACUGGGAUAACUUCGGGAAACCGGAGCUAAUACCGGAUGAUAUUUUGAACCGCAUGGUUCAAAAGUGAAAGACGGUCUUGCUGUCACUUAUAGAUGGAUCCGCGCUGCAUUAGCUAGUUGGUAAGGUAACGGCUUACCAAGGCAACGAUGCAUAGCCGACCUGAGAGGGUGAUCGGCCACACUGGAACUGAGACACGGUCCAGACUCCUACGGGAGGCAGCAGUAGGGAAUCUUCCGCAAUGGGCGAAAGCCUGACGGAGCAACGCCGCGUGAGUGAUGAAGGUCUUCGGAUCGUAAAACCCUGUUAUUAGGGAAGAACAAAUGUGUAAGUAACUAUGCACGUCUUGACGGUACCUAAUCAGAAAGCCACGGCUAACUACGUG